rnacentral:tRNA from 1 species
GAGAAACUAGUUAAAUUCAAAAUAUAAGAAUGUCAUUCUUAAGAUACUUAGGUGUUUCCCA